CUGGGGGUAUUUAACAGCUGACGGCCAUGAAAGAAGAAUGAUUGAAAUGGAACCCCUGGGUAGAUAAAUGACAGCUAAAUAGAUGGACAGGAAAAUGUCUAAGGAUAAGGAAAAAAGAAGACAUUAAAAUACAACAAAGAGGGGCUGGGGAUGUGGCUCAAGUGGUAGCGCGCUCGCCUGGCAUGCUUGCGGCCCGGGUUCGAUCCUCAGCACCACAUACAAACAAAGAUGUUGUGUCUGCCGAAAAAACUAAAAAAUAAAUAUUAAAAAAUUAAAAUAAAAUAAAAAUAAAAUACAACAAAGAACAAGAACCUCAGGGACUGUUAAGAGAGAAAAGAAGACCAAAAAAUGUACUUGAUUUCCAAGUUUGAUGAACCUCACAAACACGAGAUGCUAGACUCACAGCAAGCACAGUGAACGCAGAGACACCCCUAGGCACCCGCUGCUGCAAGCCAGGAGAGGGACAGCCUCAGCCUCAGGAGCACAAGGACUUGAGCUGUGGCCGACUUAGAAACUAUGGAGCCAGAAAACAGUGGGACAACACUUUUAAACUGCUGAGGGAAAAAAACUAUUAAUCAGAAAUUCUGCAUCCAGAAAAAUGUGAUUCAGGGAUGAAAACAAAGACAUUUUCAGAUAAAAGUAAGAGAAUUCCUGACCCUCAGAAACGCUAAGGGGAAUCUGCAGGCGGAGGGACAAGACAUCAGAGGAACCCCAGGCAUCGCCCUUGAAAGACACAAUUGCCAAAUUUAUCUAAGAAAAAUAUAAACUUUGAACAAUCUUAAAUUGAAUUUAUUAGGAAAAAAUAAAUAAAAAAAGAACAGUGCUUCCCAUAAAGCAAACUCCAGACUGACGGGGCUUCAGAAGUAAAGGCUGCCUGUGCUAUGGGAAGAAAUAGCUCAGUCCUACACUGACUCUUUCAGGAAGUAGAGGCAACACUUCCAAUGAGCUUUAUGAGGCUUUAUCAUCCUGACUACAAACCAGGCAAAGACCACUCAAGAAAAAGGAACCACGGACCCACAUCCUCAAGAUGAUAGACACAAAAAUCCUUAACAAAAUAUUAACAAAUCAAACAAUAUAGAAAAGCAGCAGGAGCAAAUAGGGCAUAUCUUCAGAAUAUAUGGUGAGUUUAAAAAAUGAAUAUGAUUCACCGUAUUGAUGCAAUAAAGAGAAAGCUAUAUGAUAAUCUCAGCAGAUAAAGGAAAAAGCAUUUGACAAAAUUCAACACCCCCUCCCUUCUUGGAAAAAACUCUCAGAAACCUAGAAAUACAAGUCAAAACCUAAUUAAGAGCUUCUUAACACACACAUCUUACACCUGAUGUCACACUCAGUGCUAGGGUGCGUGGCCAGCAACAAGGCCAGGGUACCUUCUCUCACUGCAUCUUACCAUGCAUCUUACCAUGGCCAGAAAUAGAAGUAAAAGACACACGCAUUAGGCAAGAAGUAAAAGUGUCCUUUAUGCAGAUGCCAACUCUGUCCAAAACCCCAGGGUCUGUUCAAACACCACUAGAACUAGCAGGUGACUGUUACAAGGUUGCAGGACGCAAAGUUAACAGGUGAAAGUCAAUUGCACUUCUGUAUCCUGACAAUGAACAGUUACACAUUCUAUUAAAAAUUAUUUCACUUUUAAAACAUCGGAAAACACCCAGGGAUUUAUUUAAUGAAAGAUGUGGAAGACCUAUACAAUAAAACCUUGACAAAAGGAAACUUUAAGAAGACCUAACUCAGUGGAAAGACACACCAUGCCUGCGUUCUGGAAGAUUUCAUAUCCUCAAGAUAUCAGGGUAAGUUCAUCUCUAGAGUCUAUGUAAUUCCAAUUAAAAUGUUAAUAGUCUUUGCACAAAGACUUUGAAAAGCUGAUUUUAAAUGUACAUGAAAAGGUAAGAGAGCCAGACUACCAAAACAAUUUGAAGAAGAACAACUUGAUCUGAAGAUUCACCAUAAAGCUUCAGUUAUCAACACAG
rnacentral:lncRNA from 1 species